AACUCUUCUGAAGUUGACCUCGAAUCAGGUAGGAAUACCCGCUGAACUUAAGCAUA
rnacentral:rRNA from 1 species